rnacentral:rRNA from 1 species
CCCUUAGAUGUCCUGGGCCGCCCGCGCGCUACACUGAUGCAUGCAACGAGUUUAUAACCUUGGCCUGAAAGGUCUGGGUAAUCUUUUGAACGUGCAUCGUGAUAGGGAUAGAUUAUUGCAAUUGUUAAUCUUGAACGAGGAAUUCCUAGUAAACGCGAGUCAUCAGCUCGCAUUGAUUACGUCCCUGCCCUUUGUACACACCGCCCGUCGCACCUACCGAUUGAAUGGUUCGGUGAAGAUCUCGGACUUCGAUAUUUAUUCUUUAUUGAGUUUAUAUUGUGGGAAGUUAUCUAAACCUCAUCAUUUAGAGGAAGGUGAAGUCGUAACA